GUUAGACUCGUGAAAAGACAGGAAUAUAUUGGCGAAUAAAGGACCUAAGGGUGACUCCAUAGCAACGCCGUCAAUCUGUUGAAACAAAAGCCCAUUAAACAAAAAAGAGCAGUUUUUCACAGCAAGACCAAGAAGUUACUUAAAUUCCAAUUGAGUCAGACCAUGAAAGCGAACAGCAUUAGAGAAUAAGCGGUUUGAAAUUAUGUUAAUGGUUUCAUCCAGAGGAAUGUUGGUAAAUAAGGAAGUGACAUCAAAGCUUGCCAUGACAACGUUGUUGGAAUCGAGAUUGAGGCUGAGUAAUUCCUGGACAAACGAGAAAGAAUCUUUAACCAUAUAGCAC